ensembl:snRNA U6 U6 spliceosomal RNA
GUGCUCACUUCAGCAGAACAUACAUCAAAAUUGGAACAAUAUAGAGAAGAGUAGCACGGACCCUGAGCAAGGAUGGCACACCAAAGCAAAGAAGCAUCUUCAUUCACA